rnacentral:rRNA from 1 species
GGCUCAGGAUGAACGCUAGCGGCAGGCUUAACACAUGCAAGUCGAGGGGCAGCAUGAGACGGAGAUUCGUCGAAGUCUUGAUGGCGACCGGCGCAAGGGUGCGUAACGCGUGAGCAACUUGCCCGUUUCUGGGGAAUAACCGGUGGAAACGCCGACUAAUACCCCAUAGUAUUGACUUUGGGCAUCCUUAGUCAAUUAAAGAAUUUCGGAAACGGAUAGGCUCGCGUGACAUUAGCUGGAUGGCGGGGUAACGGCCCACCAUGGCAACGAUGUCUAGGGGUUCUGAGAGGAAGGUCCCCCACACUGGAACUGAGACACGGUCCAGACUCCUACGGGAGGCAGCAGUGAGGAAUAUUGGUCAAUGGUCUGACGACUGAACCAGCCAUGCCGCGUGAAGGUCACGGCCCUAUGGGUCUUAAACUUCUUUUGUAAGGGAGCAAUAAGCUUUACGUGUAGAGUGAUGAGAGUACCUUACGAAUAAGCAUCGGCUAACUCCGUG